UCCUGUAUUAUAUUGAGUAUUUUAGGGGAGUCUUUAAAAGACUUAUUUUAUAUCUAUAGGUUAUUAUAAAUACAAGAUUUUUGUACCUUCCAUAAGCCUCAUUUCUGUUGGUCCUCCACUCUUCAUUCAUCUAGUCUUAAAAAUGAGCUCUGAGAUGGUCUUUUUGAACAACGUCUGCUGUGAACGCUGUACACCUCUCUUCCCCCGUGGGGAGGCCUAGAGGGCAUCAGUGAGCGUUCUGACUCCUGCAGUCUCUUCCUGUCCCUGGGGGACCAGCAUCUGGGGACGGAAAAGGAGCAGACACUGCCCCCAACUGGCCUCUGCUGCUGCUGGAUGUCUGAGGCCUGUGUGUCCUUCGGCAGGGGACUGUUGUCUGUACACCUUCUGGGGAAUCCUCCAAAUAGGUGUGCAGCUGCCUGCGGGGAGCAGAGCCUGAUGGCGUGUGGCAGGUGGCAGAACGAGGCGCUCGGCUCUGGGUGCUCUUCCUGCCUUCCGCCCGUCCCCGAAGGCCUUCUGCCGAGCACCACAGAGCUGUCCCUGUCUUUCCAGACUCGUCCCAUAGAUAGGACAGGCACCAGCAGAUGCUCUUUGGGGAGGAAGAGGAAGUGCUGAGAAGUUCAUUUACGCUGGGUCAGAGUUCAGGCAGUCGGAUAGGACCCCCUGACACGGGGGUGAGUCCUAGGCCAGGGGACCCCUCUGUCAGAGGUGGUUCGUGUGGCACGAGCCACAACAGACUGAGCAGAACGGUUUGGCUGCCUGUGGGCCACCUGGGGCACUCGGCAACGCAGCGGCCGGGUGGUCGCGCAGGCUGCACCGUGCGUCU